GAUGAACGCUGGCGGCGUGCCUAAUACAUGCAAGUCGAGCGAACGGACGAGAAGCUUGCUUCUCUGAUGUUAGCGGCGGACGGGUGAGUAACACGUGGAUAACCUACCCAUAAGACUGGGAUAACUUCGGGAAACCGGAGCUAAUACCGGAUAAUAUUUUGAACCGCAUGGUUCAAAAGUGAAAGACGGUCUUGCUGUCACUUAUAGAUGGAUCCGCGCUGCAUUAGCUAGUUGGUAAGGUAACGGCUUACCAAGGCAACGAUGCAUAGCCGACCUGAGAGGGUGAUCGGCCACACUGGAACUGAGACACGGCCCAGACUCCUACGGGAGGCAGCAGUAGGGAAUCUUCCGCAAUGGGCGAAAGCCUGACGGAGCAACGCCGCGUGAGUGAUGAAGGUCUUCGGCUCGUAAAACUCUGUUAUUAGGGAAGAACAUAUGUGUAAGUAACUGUGCACAUCUUGACGGUACCUAAUCAGAAAGCCACGGCUAACUACGUG
rnacentral:rRNA from 1 species